rnacentral:lncRNA from 1 species
AUGGAAAUGUGAUUGGUAUCAUUUGAGAAGAAGAAAAAUUGAAUGCUGAAAUCUUAUUGUGGUUCAGCAGAGAGAAUGAGUCUGUGUUUGUGUGAAAUACUGUAAUAUGAAUGGCGCUUCUGUGUGAAGAAUUCUAGUGAUUCGAAUGAGGGUAAUUGUGUGCUGAAAGCUGUGAGGGCACAGUAUUGCAGUUGGAGAUUAUGAGGAUGAAUAUAUUGAUGGAAAUAACAGUUAUUGGUAUGACUGAAUUGCUGUAAGGAAGAGACCGAUA